rfam:Citrus clementina cultivar Clemenules unplaced genomic scaffold scaffold_6, whole genome shotgun sequence.
AUGGAAGUGAGGAUUAUUUCCCCAAAUGAUCGACACUGAUUAAACUAAGCGAUCUGUUUCUCUUUUCGAGAAUCCAAGCCAGAAAUCUGAUCCGU